rnacentral:rRNA from 1 species
UACGUAGGGUGCAAGCGUUGUCCGGAAUUAUUGGGCGUAAAGCGCGCGCAGGCGGUGAUUUAAGUUUGGUGUUUAAUCCCGGGGCUUAACCCCGGUUCGCAUCGAAAACUGGGUCACUUGAGUGUAAGAGAGGAAAGUGGAAUUCCACGUGUAGCGGUGAAAUGCGUAGAUAUCAGGAGGAACACCUGCGGUGUAGACGGCUUACUGGACGGUAACUGACGCUGAGGCACGAAAGCGUGGGUAGCAAACAGG